GGGCCCGCACAAGCGGUGGAGCAUGUGGUUUAAUUCGAUGAUACGCGAGGAACCUUACCAGGGCUUAAAUGCAGAACGACAGAGGUGGAAACACCUCCUUCUUCGGACGGUCUGCAAGGUGCUGCAUGGUUGUCGUCAGCUCGUGCUGUGAAGUGUCGGGUUAAGUCCCAUAACGAGCGCAACCCCUAUUUCUAGUUGCCAGCGGUUCGGCCGGGGACUCUAGAGAAACUGCCAGCGUAAGCUGUGAGGAAGGUGGGGAUGACGUCAAAUCAUCACGGCCCUUACGUCCUGGGCUACACACGUGCUACAAUGGUAGGGACAGAGAGUUGCCAACCCGCGAGGGUGAGCUAAUCUUCAAACCUAGUCGUAGUCCGGAUCGGAGUCUGCAACUCGACUCCGUGAAGUCGGAAUUGCUAGUAAUCGC
rnacentral:rRNA from 1 species